rnacentral:lncRNA from 1 species
GAAAGAGGAGUUAUGAUGGGUGAUGAUGAUGAAGAAGAUGACAACAUUCCUGACUGGAUUCAAGGAGGUGCCUUUGCAGAUGCUCCAAUGGGCAAGGCUGAAGAAAAGAUGGGCGAGGCAAAAGGUCCUAUCGAUGAUCUAGGUCUGGUGUUGCGAGAUGUGAAAGAAGACUACGAGAAUGUGAAGGGGUCAAAAAAUUUCGAGCGUAUGUUAGAUGAUUAUAAG